rnacentral:rRNA from 1 species
ACAUGCCUACAACAUAACGUUAAUGCACUGGAUCCCAUUAGAACUCCACAGUUAAGUGCGCUCAGGCUAGAAUAGUACUGGGAUGGCUGGCCGCCUGAACAUUCCUAGUGUUUUACAUGCC